CGUAGGGGGCGAGCGUUGUCCGGAUUUAUUGGGCGUAAAAGGCUUGUAGGCGGCCACCGCGCGUCGUGCGUGAAAUCUCCCGGCUCAACUGGGAGGGGUCGUGCGAUACGGCGGGGCUCGAGGCCGUAGGGGGACGCGGAAUUCCCGGUGUAGUGGUGGAAUGCGUAGAUAUCGGGAGGAACACCAGUGGCGAAGGCGGCAUCCUGGACCGGUGCUGACGCUGAGGAGCGAAAGCGUGGGGAGCGAUCCGGAUUAGAUACCCGGGUAGUCCACGCCGUAAACGGUGCGCACUAGGUGUCGGGGGUAUCGACCCCCCCGGUGCCGCAGCUAACGCAGUAAGUGCGCUGCCUGGGGAGUACGGCCGCAAGGCUA
rnacentral:rRNA from 1 species